rnacentral:rRNA from 1 species
GACGUAGGGUGCAAGCGUUGUUCGGAAUUAUUGGGCGUAAAGCGCGUGUAGGCGGCUUUAAAAGUCGGGUGUGAAAUCCCUCAGCUUAACUGAGGAAGUGCGCCCGAAACUCUAGAGCUUGAGUACCGGAGAGGGUGGCGGAAUUCCCCAAGUAGAGGUGAAAUUCGUAGAUAUGGGGAGGAACACCGGUGGCGAAGGCGGCCACCUGGACGGUCACUGACGCUGAGACGCGAAAGCAUGGGGAGCAAACAGG